GAUGAACGCUGGCGGCGUGCCUAAUACAUGCAAGUCGAGCGAACAGAUAAGGAGCUUGCUCCUUUGACGUUAGCGGCGGACGGGUGAGUAACACGUGGGUAACCUACCUAUAAGACUGGAAUAACUCCGGGAAACCGGGGCUAAUGCCGGAUAACAUUUAGAACCGCAUGGUUCUAAAGUGAAAGAUGGUUUUGCUAUCACUUAUAGAUGGACCCGCGCCGUAUUAGCUAGUUGGUAAGGUAACGGCUUACCAAGGCAACGAUACGUAGCCGACCUGAGGGGGUGAUCGGCCACACUGGAACUGAGACACGGUCCAGACUCCUACGGGAGGCAGCAGUAGGGAAUCUUCCGCAAUGGGCGAAAGCCUGACGGAGCAACGCCGCGUGAGUGAUGAAGGUCUUCGGAUCGUAAAACGCUGUUAUUAGGGAAGAACAAAUGUGUAAGUAACUGUGCACGUCUGGACGGUACCUAAUCAGAAAGCCACGGCUAACUACGU
rnacentral:rRNA from 1 species